rnacentral:rRNA from 1 species
AGAGUUUGAUCAUGGCUCAGAGCGAACGCUGGCGGCAGGCUUAACACAUGCAAGUCGAGCGGGCGUAGCAAUACGUCAGCGGCAGACGGGUGAGUAACGCGUGGGAACGUACCUUUUGGUUCGGAACAACCCAGGGAAACUUGGACUAAUACCGGAUAAGCCCUUACGGGGAAAGAUUUAUCGCCGAAAGAUCGGCCCGCGUCUGAUUAGCUAGUUGGUGAGGUAACGGCUCACCAAGGCGACGAUCAGUAGCUGGUCUGAGAGGAUGAUCAGCCACAUUGGGACUGAGACACGGCCCAAACUCCUACGGGAGGCAGCAGUGGGGAAUAUUGGACAAUGGGCGCAAGCCUGAUCCAGCCAUGCCGCGUGAGUGAUGAAGGCCCUAGGGUUGUAAAGCUCUUUUGUGCGGGAAGAUAAUGACGGUACCGCAAGAAUAAGCCCCGGCUAACUUCGUGCCAGCAGCCGCGGUAAUACGAAGGGGGCUAGCGUUGCUCGGAAUCACUGGGCGUAAAGGGUGCGUAGGCGGGUCUUUAAGUCAGGGGUGAAAUCCUGGAGCUCAACUCCAGAACUGCCUUUGAUACUGAAGAUCUUGAGUUCGGGAGAGGUGAGUGGAACUGCGAGUGUAGAGGUGAAAUUCGUAGAUAUUCGCAAGAACACCAGUGGCGAAGGCGGCUCACUGGCCCGAUACUGACGCUGAGGCACGAAAGCGUGGGGAGCAAACAGGAUUAGAUACCCCCGUAGUCC